rnacentral:rRNA from 1 species
GAUCCUGGCUCAGGAUGAACGCUAGCUACAGGCUUAACACAUGCAAGUCGAGGGGCAGCAUGGUCUUAGCUUGCUAAGACUGAUGGCGACCGGCGCACGGGUGAGUAACACGUAUCCAACCUGCCGUCUACUCUUGGACAGCCUUCUGAAAGGAAGAUUAAUACAAGAUGGCAUCAUGAGUCCGCAUGUUCACAUGAUUAAAGGUAUUCCGGUAGACGAUGGGGUUG